rnacentral:rRNA from 1 species
CAGCCGCCGCGGUAAUACGAGGGGGGCAAGCGUUGUUCGGAUUUAUUGGGCGUAAAGGGUGCGUAGGCGGUUUGGCAAGUCUUGUGUGAAAUCUUCGGGCUCAACCCGAAGCCUGCACGAGAAACUACCGGGCUUGAGUAUUGGAGAGGUGAGUGGAAUUUCCGGUGUAGCGGUGAAGUGCGUAGAUAUCGGAAGGAACACCUGUGGCGAAAGCGGCUCACUGGACAAUAACUGACGCUGAUGCACGAAAGCUAGGGGAGCAAACAGGAUUAGAUACCCCCGUAGUCCCUGUCUCUUAUAC